rnacentral:miRNA from 1 species
UAAUGAUAAUUAUGAUGACUGUGAUGAUGAUGAUUGGAGUCAUGUGAUUGAGUUUGCGAUUACAUUCAUCAUCAUUAUGGCCAUUAGCCGCA